UUCUGGCUCAGGAUGAACGCUAGCGACAGGCUUAACACAUGCAAGUCGAGGGGCAGCACGGGAGUAGCAAUACUUGGUGGCGACCGGCGCACGGGUGAGUAACGCGUAUGCAACCUACCUAUCAGAGGGGAAUAACCGGCGAAAGUCGGACUAAUACCGCAUAAAACAGGGGCACCGCAUGGUGAUAUUUGUUAAAGAAAUUCGCUGAUAGAUGGGCAUGCGUUCCAUUAGGUAGUUGGUGAGGUAACGGCUCACCAAGCCGACGAUGGAUAGGGGAACUGAGAGGUUGGUCCCCCACACUGGUACUGAGACACGGACCAGACUCCUACGGGAGGCAGCAGUGAGGAAUAUUGGUCAAUGGGCGGGAGCCUGAACCAGCCAAGUCGCGUGAAGGGAGAAGGAUCUAUGGUUCGUAAACUUCUUUUGCAGGGGAAUAAAGUGCAGGACGUGUCCUGUUUUGUAUGUACCCUGAGAAUAAGGAUCGGCUAACUCCGUGCCAGCCGCCGC
rnacentral:rRNA from 1 species